rnacentral:rRNA from 1 species
CCAGACUCCUACGGGAGGCAGCAGUGGGGAAUAUUGGGCAAUGGGCGCAAGCCUGACCCAGCAACGCCGCGUGAAGGAAGAAGGCUUUCGGGUUGUAAACUUCUUUUGUCAGGGACGAAGCAAGUGACGGUACCUGACGAAUAAGCCACGGCUAACUACGUGCCAGCAGCCGCGGUAAUACGUAGGUGGCAAGCGUUAUCCGGAUUUACUGGGUGUAAAGGGAGUGUAGGUGGCAUAACAAGUCAGAAGUGAAAGCCCGGGGCUCAACCGCGGGACUGCUUUUGAAACUGUUAAGCUUGAGUGCAGGAGAGGCAGGCGGAAUUCCCAGUGUAGCGGUGAAAUGCGUAGAUAUUGGGAGGAACACCAGUGGCGAAGGCGGCCUGCUGGACAUUAACUGACGCUGAGGCGCGAAAGCGUGGGGAGCAAACAGGAUUAGAUACCCCUGUA